rnacentral:precursor_RNA from 13 species
AUCACUCCACGAGAGCCGGCUUUGGGAGGCAAGGGAACUUCUUCUCGCUGAAUAAGGAAAUGCCGUUUCAGCGCACUCAAGUUCUCAUGCCUCCCUCUGCUCCAGCUCAGGCAGCGAAAG